GUCGUAACAAGGUUUCCGUAGGUGAACCUGCGGAAGGAUCAUUACCACACCUCUUUUCUUGGUCUAGUGUCUUACUAGUUCACGCUAGUAUAGUCAUUAGACCUAUGAAAAACAAGAGAAAGAUGCGGGUCUUAAAAACACCCAAGUCCGACUUUUGCGUCCCACGUAACCGUAUUAAAACUUGUGGUGUCUUCGGAUGCCCAUUUUUAACACAAACAAAUUACAUUUCAAAUGUACUGAUUAUGAUUUUCAAUAAUUAGAAGUUAGCGAGUUUACUCUCCCUAAUGACUAUACAAAUUAAUGAAAAAAACACUUUCAGCAACGGAUGUCUUGGCUCCCAU
rnacentral:misc_RNA from 1 species